UGGGGAAUAUUGGACAAUGGGGGCAACCCUGAUCCAGCCAUGCCGCGUGAGUGAAGAAGGCCUUAGGGUUGUAAAGCUCUUUCAGCGGGGAAGAUGAUGACGGUACCCGCAGAAGAAGCCCCGGCUAACUCCGUGCCAGCAGCCGCGGUAAUACGGAGGGGGCUAGCGUUGCUCGGAAUUACUGGGCGUAAAGGGCGCGUAGGCGGAUUUCCCAGUCAGGCGUGAAAGCCCCGGGCUUAACCCGGGAACUGCGCUUGAUACUGGAAGUCUAGAGUUCUGGAGAGGGUGGUGGAAUUCCCAGUGUAGAGGUGAAAUUCGUAGAUAUUGGGAAGAACACCGGUGGCGAAGGCGGCCACCUGGCCAGAUACUGACGCUAAGGCGCGAAAGCGUGGGGAGCAAACAGG
rnacentral:rRNA from 1 species